rnacentral:rRNA from 1 species
UACGAAGGGGGCUAGCGUUGCUCGGAAUCACUGGGCGUAAAGGGUGCGUAGGCGGGUUUUUAAGUCAGAGGUGAAAUCCUGGAGCUCAACUCCAGAACUGCCUUUGAUACUGAGAAUCUUGAGUAUGGGAGAGGUGAGUGGAACUGCGAGUGUAGAGGUGAAAUUCGUAGAUAUUCGCAAGGACACCAGUGGCGAAGGCGGCUCACUGGCCCAUAACUGACGCUGAGGCACGAAAGCGUGGGGAGCAAACAGG